CACUCCUGUCCCUCAGAGUGACUGCCCCUCUUUCUUCCUCUUCUUUUUACUCAGCUUCAUGAUGAUCCUGAGACUUGUCCUGCUGCUGCUGUAGCAUCCAGAGAAGCGGAGAGCCAAACUCCCACCAUGCUGCUGGGCCUGGCAGAGCAGGGGCUGGAUAUUUUUUACUUUCGACAAUUCCAAACACUUAUCACUCAGAUAAGUUUAAGUUAAAUUGCAACCUGUCAGAGGAUGGGACUCCUGGAGUGGACCACAGGGACUGCGAAGGAGCUGUGUGUGACUUUGUACAUUAGGGGUUCUAUCUGCAUUGUUGGGGGUGGAGUGUGUUUGUAUUGAAGGAAUUCUGUUCUCAGCACAUCAACGUCCUGACAGAAUGUACUCAGUAUUCAAAUAAAAUGCAUCGUAUUCUAAGUCACUUCUGUGUCUGUGUCUUUUCUAGAAACUCAGUCACUCAAUCAUGUUGAAC
rnacentral:lncRNA from 1 species